UCGGUCCCAUCGCUAUUCCACGAUGGAAAGAAAGGAGAAAGAGGAAGGAACGAAGAGGCGUAGAGGGACGUACGGGGCAUCCAAGCAGAAAUCGCACGCGCAGGCGCCAUUUCGCAAACAUGGCCAGCCAUCUUGCGAUGCGUAGCGUUCGAACGGCGGAGAAGGGGUUGGAAUAUAACCGUUCUUGGUAUCGAACUGCGCUUCAGUACCUACGGAGACAGAGACAGGCAUAGAACGUCCUUUAACACCUCUGCAAUCGCUACGCGUUCUCCAUUUUUUCCCCUUUCAACCUCUUUUCUCUACUCUUCCUCCUCUGUCGCUCUUUUUCCCUUUCUUUACCUCCUAGUUUUACCAUUCCGUUAAUUUCUCUUCUACGUUCUUUUUACUUCGAUUCUUUCCUUUCAUCGCUAAAAUCCCGUUGAAGUUAAACAAGUAUGCGGCCACGCGAGUAAUUGAUCGCGCCAGUCGCGAGUCGGUGUGAAACUGAAACGAUACAUCGCGAUCUCCGCUCCGACGUCUCGAACAAGGAAACGUAAUAUAUCUGUCGAAAAUUUUCAAAGCCACUUUACUUCUCUCUUUCUCUCGUUUCUUCCAUAGCUGCUGAUCUUUUUGAUUAAGCACGAGCUGCUACACUGUGUAAUUAAGAGUCGUUGAUCGCUUACGCGUGACAUCGAAGGGUUGGCACGUCGAAAUUCGCACGAAACAGGUCUCGACGUUGUUUGAAAGCUGCCGAAUCGUUGCCUGCUCUCUGAUCAACGUGUUUUAACUCGGACCCUUUCUUUCAACGAAUAGUACGGUGAUUUCACGACGAACCAAUGUGGUGAUUCGAUAGACGACAGAAAAAAAAAUGUUUUGUUUCGGAAGUAGAAAGUUUUGCUGGCCUAUAAAUUGGAAAAAACACGUCGAUCAAAACGGGAUUUAAUCGACUUAAUAUAUGAAAAUAGCAAUCCCCUAUCGAAGAUCGAUGGUAUCGUGAGUUUUUCUUUUUAAAUGAUUUUCAAAGUAGCUUUUCGUUCGCGGCUGAUUAGAAAUUUCUCGGCGAACGAGUGUGGCUGGUCAUUUGUUAAAAGCGGCACAAAGCGUGCGCCAAAAACCGGGUCAUCCACUUCUCGCGAAAAAUCGAUACGAAAUGGUGGAACGCGAUUCCUGGUCUGACCACUGGUUGACUCGUUCCACUUGCCGCGCCGUGGAUAGUCAUUUUUCAAUGGCGAAUUUUGUGAUUCGCGCUGCACUGGGUUACGUUAGUUACGUCGCGCUUAAACCGAGUUUGCCAAUAUCGUGUCGUUAGACGACUCCAACGGUAUGAAAUGACGUUCAGCAAGAUCAGCAAGAAUGAUUUUCCGUCGAAGGAAACAAGAUGUUUCGUUCGAGAUAAUCCAAUUCUUCGAUGAAAAAUAUUCCUAGAGAUCGUAUAGAUAUUACUAUCCCUAAUUGUUUCCUACGUUUAUAUUUUGUCACCGUCACAUUCUUUACUCUCCAAUUUUUUUACGCGUCACUAUCUCUCUUCUCAUCCUUUGUUCGGACGAAUUAAAAUUCUUUUUAUCGUUCUAUUUAUUGGAUAUCGUACAACGACGGAUGCGAGCUCUUCGAACAUCAUUCUUCUGGAGCCAAUUCGUGGAUCUAAUCAGGUGCACAUGACAGUGAAAUAAUCGUCGUUAGAAAGCGAGACGUUGUAAGUCGGCCUCGAAUAAAAUUCCGUCGAAGCCAGCUGUAUCUAUUUGAUCGAGAAGUUCCAAUGCGAUACGAUUCGCGAGCAAGGCGACGUUCUCUACCUGUUGCACGUUGCUUUCAUAGGAAAUUGCCUUACCGACAUAUUGAACAUUGUCAUUCCUGUCUAUGGAUGGUAAUCCUGUGCAGAAACGUGCCACUGUGGGAUUACAACGCCUUCUUUUUGUCUUUUUUUUUUCAUCGUUAUCGGCCUCGUAUGCGCGAUAAAGUCACUCGAUGUUCUCAUCUGUAAACGCAUUUGUUCAGUGUGGUGCAAUUUAUCAACGUACUCUUUCUCUAGAGCUUAUUAUUGCGCCUGAUAUUUCCCCGCGUCUGACGGAAGAUCGUUUACCGUUCCGUAAAUGGUAUGCAGAGAAUAUUUACGAAGCUUUUGCUUUCCCUUUUGUUUUAAUUUUAAAAACAGGGGGAAAAGACCGUAAGGGAGUAGUUCUUGGACAUUCGUAGAAUUAAUCUUCUUGUAGUUCGGUGUAGCAACGAUAGGAAAAGUAUUUCAAUUAAGGGAAGGAAGUCGUUGAAACGAUGCACCGCGAAAUUGGUUCGUCUUGCUUUAUUAUUUUGAUCGUUUCUAAAGAAAUCUCGUAUUACCCUAUUCGACGUUUUAAUCGGGGGAGAAAAAUUAUUCGAUCGUUGGAAUUAAAAUUCCGGUAAGCAAUAUCAAUGUCGGUAAUUUUCGAUUUCUUUAAACUUUGGAUCACUGAACAGCCGAGAAAGAUUCUCACGAGGAAAAGAAUAGAUGGCUGGUACCAUAGCUACACACGUUUCGUUCUGAUAAACGUGGAUCGCGUCGAGGAAAUUAAUUCCGCUUCGUAGAAGGAUACUAAGUGUCUACCUGUUGCACCACGCUGCCAGACGAAACGGUCUCGAUCGUUUUUGGAGAAUCGCGAAAGUGAAGGAGAAAUACAGAGAAAGAAAGAGCAGGAGAGAACGACAGCACUUGGCGAAUGAAAAAUUUUACGCGUCUACGCGUACGAAGAAACCUGCUGGUACGUCGUUGCUUUCGCAACUUGUUGCUAGUCGUUCAGAGAUCUCUCCACUUCUCGAUUCCCGGUGCUGCUUCCUGCACACAGGUGCUGUAGUGGGACAAAAUUCUCGUCGUUUCCGUGACACUGACCCUUCGACGAUCGAUCCAUUAACGCCAGCGUGGUAUUUUCAAGAUACGUUCCUGUUUCCCUUCGACGAUAGAAGCCUCACCUCUAGAAUGAUACUAAUCGUAUAGCAAUUAUGGCUUGUACAUGGCGGCGCAAAACAGAAUCACCAACAGGAGUAUUAAAUCGAGCUUUCGCGAGAGUUCAUCGUGGACGUCGACAAUCGUUAUUUCCACGUUCUACGUUCGGCCGGGGCUGCAGCUGGGAAACGAGCAGACGAAAGUAACAGAGGAGAAUCGAGGGUGGUGGAGAAACGGACGAAGAAGCUCGAAGGGAAACGGGUGGCGAAGAAGCAAGGGAGAGAGAGAGAGAGAGAGAGAGAGAGAGAGAAAGAGAGAAGACUAGUUUUUCGACACCCCCGUUCCAGACUUCACGACCGAUUCGGAAUGCCGAAUUCACAGCCGCUCUUCCACUGCGGAUCAACCAAUAUUCCGAUCGCGCCUCCACGGACCUGUAGAUCUCUCGAAUAUCGCGUUUCGUUUAGACUUUUUGACGUUCGACCGACGCACUGAAAUUUGAAAGCGUUGCAGAGAAAUUCUCCAGACUGACAACGAGAAGGCAGACUUAAGAAGAAUAAAAAUAAAUUCGUCGGAAAGAACUUAUUUACGCACCACGUUACAUCGUUACGUUUGAGCGUUUCCAGUUAAACAGGACAUACUGUAUAUUCGGGUUUCUUACGCCCGGUGCAAAUCUCGAUUCACCGAUGAAUCUGGCAGAAAGCUUGCUCGAUCGUUUCUUCCGUGCAAUACCUGGAUCUCGUAGAUCGCGAGGGAUCUAUAGACGUGGAACUGCGCCGAUCUCGCGACUCGUAUGGAGAACCUUACGGGACGAUAAUGGACAGAUUUAUGAGACGGCUUAUCGAUCCUCGGGUAAAUCCAAUUUUCGAGGUCGACGCUCGCGUGCAGCCAGCAGCGUUUCCCUCGCGAGAUGCGUCGCGAGUUUCCUUCCGCCCAGGGAACGAGAAGUUAAUCGUCCCAAGAAAUUUCGAGACGUUCGCGUGGCUACAAAUUGAAAUGUGGACCAUCAAGCUAUAGGUAUAAAAAAACAGGCAAACUUAACGAUCAACGAGAAAGGGAAAACACGAUUUAAAGGAGCGACUGUGUCGAUCGUGUCGUUAGAUGUCUCGACAAAUUGGAAUAUCGAUUUUUGUUUCGGCCGACAGGCGACGGGCUAGGUCGAUGGAAACUGAUGAAUAUGCACUGUGUUCCUUGGGCUUUUGCUUUGAUCUCGCGGUGGAGUUUCUAUCGUUUUAUGACUUGUUUUAAUUGGUGAUUGUAAUUUCAUUUACAAUUUAUCGUUUUUCCUUUGCCACUGUUCCUUAAAAUUUACUAUAAUUUCACGCGAAAUGAACGUCGUUCGGCAACGUUUUCGUUUAAUGUACGAUAUACGAUUGAUUUACUUUUGCUGGUCCGAAUGAAUUUGCCUAGCAGAAAAAUACUACAUAUUUGGAUUUACUCUUUUUGUUUAUUUUACGCGAGCCGGGGCAUGUAAAUGGCGUAGAACGUUGGAAUUCGGAUAACCGAUCAAAGGUUGCAUUAUACCGCAACGAUAUGGAAUACGUACGAAUAGAUGAUAAUACUAAUACUGAUUCAAGGGAAGGAGGAGCAAAGUUACGUGGGAAAAUAACGUUGUCGUUGAAAUUUCCAGAUCGUAUCUCGAAAUUCGUUGGUCACGCGUCUCCCCAAAAGACGAGAAAUCGUUCGAGAGAUGGCAAUUAUAUUUAAAGAAACAGUGUCUUAUAAUCUAAAAAUAAAGCGUUUCCCACGAUAUAUCCGUCUUUUAAUUUACUUAAUAAUUUUCAAGCAAGAUCUCGACGCUUUAGAUUCCUAAUUACACUUAAAAGUAGAAAAGACUAAAAAGAAAGGAGAAAAGUCAUAAAGAUAACACAUCUAACCAUUGAACCGGUGGAUAGCAAUUAACGCCGCUCACCAGAGUCUGCCGUGGCUCAAGAAUCGAGCUCAUUCAGCGGUGGAAAUUAUUUCGGAAACUCGUUCAAAGCUCGUCGACCGUGGCCGACGAAGGACGAUGAAAACGAACGAACGAACGAAGGUAAAACUGCGGUCUGGUCGUUGAAGCUGGCGCGCUCCUUCGUCGAGAACGAAAGAAGGUGAAGAACAAGUGCGACAAGGCUACCACGGCGGAUCUUCAUUUCCGCGAACUCAGCCCUUGGCUUUCGGACUUCUCGAGCUUUUUCGUGGUUUAAGGACAGCAUCGAGUCAAGAACGUCUCUCUCCUCGCUCGCCUCUCAAAUCCCAUCACAAAGAAUAUCCACCCUCUGCUUUCUAUCUCUCGUUCCAAUUCACCCCUUGCCUCG